rnacentral:rRNA from 1 species
GUGAGGAAUAUUGCGCAAUGGAGGCAACUCUGACGCAGCCAUGCCGCGUGCAGGAAGAAGGCGCUACGCGUUGUAAACUGCUUUUAACCGGGAAGAAACCCCAGGACGUGUCCUGGGUUGACGGUACCGGAGGAAUAAGCACCGGCUAACUUCGUGCCAGCAGCCGCGGUAAUACGAAGGGUGCAAGCGUUAUCCGGAUUCAUUGGGUUUAAAGGGUGCGUAGGCGGAGCGUUAAGUCAGUGGUGACAUCCUGCAGCUUAACUGUAGACUUGCCAUUGAUACUGGCGCUCUUGAGUGCGCUUGAAGUGGGCGGAAUGUGCCGUGUAGCGGUGAAAUGCUUAGAUAUGGCACAGAACACCAAUUGCGAAGGCAGCUCACUAAGGCGAUACUGACGCUGAGGCACGAAAGCGUGGGGAUCGAACAGGAUUAGAAACCCCUGUAGUCC